AGAGAGACCCCCAGAGAGAGACCCUUAUAGAGAGAGACCCCCAGAGAGAGACCAUUAUAGAGAGACCCUUAUAGAGAGACCCUCAUAGAGAGAGACCCCACCAAACCAAAUGCACUCUGGCUUUUCUCUGGAUUACUUAAAUACGACUCAUUUAUAUCGUAAAUAUCUCCAUCCAGCCGGGAAGCUAACGUGAUGCUAGCAAGAUUCAGUCAAUAACAUUGCGCAACUCUAAUCAAAACAAUCUCGACUGAUCAAUAAUAGGGCUGUAGGUGAGAGGACCUGUAUGUAGUUUUUAUUUUGGGGUGAACCAUCUCUUUAAGGGUGUACUGUCUCUUUAAAGGUGAACUGUCUCUUUAAGAAAUGUCCCCUAAAGGGUGAACUGUCUCUUUCAGGGUGAACUGUCUCUUUAAGAACUGUCUCUUUAAAGGUGAACUGUCUCUUUAAGAAAUGUCCCCUAAAGGGGGAACUGUCUCUUUAAGGGUGAACUGACUCUUUAUGAACUGUUUCUUUAAGGGUGAACUGUCUCUUUAAGGUUGCACCUGGAAUAUUAAUAUGAAUUAUGUUGCGUAAAUAUAAUGUGUGCCUUUUUGAAGUUGGAAUCUUUGGUGCUUUUUUUAUCCCACGAGUUCGACGUUUACUUCCUUUUUUAUGGCAUCGUUUUAAAAAGAUACGAUUUGA